GGGGAUAUGGGGAUAUAUGUAUGCAUAUGGCUGAUUCAUUUUGUCGUACAACAGAAACUAAACAGUAUGGUGAAGAAAUUAUAGUCCAAUAAAGAUCUAUUAAAAAUUUAGAUUAGUAAAAAGCAUUAUUUUUAAAUUUAGAGGGAAUGUUGGAGUUUGAUAUUAUUGCAAUCAGAGGACUCUGUAGAAUAUAAAAUAUUGAGUGCCUGUCAUUAGGGCUGGGAAAUUUGUUUGCUUUCCUAAUAAUUAUUCCAAUUUUAUAUAAAGAUUAAAAGCAGAUUUUUUCAUAAACACAAACCUAUUUUUGCAGCAUUUUUGGUGAUAAGAUUGAAACAUCAGUCGAUAGGACAUGGAUUGAAUAAAUCAAGUGCAUCCUCCUAAGAGAGCACUGGGCAGCUGUGACAUAAGGAGUAACUUCUUUUAACUAUGCAGACCUAAAUUGUCAGUGACUAUCAGAAUACUUUGUGCAGUUAGCUUUAUUUUGGCAAGGAAGUGAAUAUAAUUCAUAUAGUUUAUGCACUUCUAUAUAUUUAUGCAUUUAUAUCUUAAUGGAAAAAUUAAAACUAUACAAGUGGGCAACUGUGAGGUGGGGAGAAGGAAGAUGAUAGAGGAGAAAGGAGGAAACUAUAUUUCUCAGAAAGUACUUGUUUUGUUUUGUUUUAGAAUUAUAUAAUUAUUGUGCCUGAAUAGAUGUAAUAAAAUAGUUUGAUAUAGUCAAAUAAAACAAAACUAAAAAAAAAAGAUAAUCACAUUAGCAGUUGUAUAUAGAGACUUUAAAAUAUUUUUAUGCUUAUGUAUAUAAAUAGAUGUAUUAUUAUAUACUUUGUUCUUUUUAUACAAAUGGGAAAUAUUUUAUAUAACUUGUUCUAUGAGCUGAUUUUUAUUUGUAUAGCAAUAUAUCAUAGGUACAUUUGAAUGACCAUAUAUAAUAAUAGUUAACUCCUAUAUACUUCUUACUAUGUACCAGGCACUACUUUAAGCACUUUCUGUAUUAACUCCUUUAAUCCUUCCAAUAACUCCAUUUCACAGAUAAGGAAGCUGAGAUGCAGCACUUAAGUGACUUACCCACAAUGUUUAUGUCUAGUAAGUAGUAAAGCUGGAAUUUGAACCCAGGGAGGAUGGUACCAGAGGCUUCACUUCUCUCUCCUGCUUCUCCAAAAAGAGAGGCUACCUUUCCAUUUUCAUGGUUAGUUUAUGAAUAGAAAUCAAGAAACAAGAGCUCUACGAUUAUAUCUCAAAAACAGAAACAGAUGGUAGAUUAAUCCUGUUUGGGCAAAAAAUAUUAUUAAAGUAAUAAUGAGGUAUAUCUCUACAUGUAUAAAUUUGAGUGAUUUUUUCCUUUAUAAUUUUCUUUGUUAUUCGAAUGUCUGAUUAGGUGUUUUUUAAUCGAAAAAACUAGUAAAGUCAUUUUCAUUUUGAAUAUAAUAACCAGAAUAUAUUAAGCCAAAAUUGGUGCUGCAUUAGUUUAAAAAAAUAUUUUUAAAUUAUAGCCACUAUGAAUGGUAAACAUCAAAAACAUAUUCAGUACACAAUCUGCUGAUUAAUAAUAAUAACUAAUAUAUAUUGAGUUCUUAUGUACUUCGACUAUACUAGAUGAGUGCUUUACAUGCAUUUUAUCAUUUAAUCCUCAAAAUUCUCUAUUAUUUAAUCUCUGUUUUAUGGUUGAGGAACCUGAGGUUUAGAUUGGUUAAGCCACUUGCCAGAGGUCAUAUAGUCACUGAGUAGCAAUGAUUUGAACCAAAGAUGAGUCCACAGUCCAUAUCCUUUGUCUCUGUGCUCAGCUGCCUUCAGACUUGAGUAUAACAUCUUUGCCAGAGUGUAGUUUAUACAUUCUUAUGUUCAUGGAAAAUCCCUCAGUAAAAUCACUUGAAGUCUAAUGGCACUGAAAAUAUAUUCAACAGCUUUUAUAAAUGUCCCGAUUUAAAGAAAAAUGUUCUAUACAUUAUACACUAAUAAUUGAAAAAGUAUGAGUUUCAAAUAAAUAUCUUACUACUCUUCAUAGUACCCUAGACAUAGAUUGCAUGUUGACCUCUAUGUGUUGUGAGUAGGCCAAAGGCUUAUAGGUCUCAAAUGCUGCCUAAAAUUCCCACUCAGAUUUUCCUUUAAGUUUGUGCAUUUCAGGCCUAAGUGUUAUCUGGAAGGCUUAUGCUUGAAACUACUGAUAUUAUCAGUCAUAAAUCUUUUAAGUAAAUUCAUUUUUAUUAGAUGCCUAAGUCUGUAAUCUGGCUGGGCUCAGGGCAGCUACAUUUUGUUAAGGAGGAAGCUUAUCUAGAAAAAUCCUAGAGCAAUGGCUUAAGGAUUGGGGAAGUACAAAGGAUGUAACACAGCAGUACUGGACGGCCGAGAGGUGAGUAAGGGGAGGCGCCAAGGACAGACUUGGCCUGCUAAGCAGUUUCACCAGAGAUAAAUUCUACAGGUAAGUCACUGGUGAGGGACAUGUUUGUAUAAUCCCAGUAAACAGUCAAACAGAUGUCAUUCGAUGAGAAUGGCCUUUUUGAUGGUUUCAAAAGUACAGUUUCUACAUAAUUAUAUUAAAUUACUGUUUGUAAAAAUUCUAUCUGCUCUAUAAAGUUUAUAGUGGCCCUUUUGCCAGGCUUUACCAUUCUCAGUACCAUUGAUCUUUAAUACUGACUUACACAUUUAAGAGAAAAGUAAAAGCAAAAUUGAGAGAAGAGGGCUUUCCUGACUUUUAAAUAUGGAUAGGAACUGUAUGUAUUUCCAAAAGAAGAAUGAAAAGUAUGUGUAUAUAUUGUACGAUGCCUUUUGUAUAAGUGUGAAUACAAUAGCUCUAUGUCAGUUUUAGGGGAUAUCCUAAAAGAUAUGGCAAACUGAAUUUUUUAUUCUUCUAUCUAUGACUGAGGCAACCCUCCAGAAACACUUAGACUCAUAAUUCUGGUUCCCUCAGAACUUUGGCUUGCACAGAGCUACAGUUGGUUAGACUUCUCUCUACUUCAUGGCAUCCAGUCAAAAAUUUGACUCAAUUUUUUUUAAUUAAUUAAUUUAUUUUUGGCUGUGUUGGGUCUUCGUUGCUGAGUGCAGGCUUUUGCUAGUUGUGGUGAGCGGGGACUACUCUUUGCUGUGGUUCGCAGGCUUCUCCUUGUGGUGGCUUCUCUUGCUGCGGAGCACGGGCUCUAGAGCACAGUCUCAGUAGUUGUGGCACACGGGGCAUGCCACAUGCUCCGGGGCAUGUGGGAUCUUCCCGGACCAGGGCUCCAACCCAUGUCCCCUGCAUUGGCAGGGAGAUUCUUAACCACUGCGCCACCAGGGAAGUCCCUUAACUCAGUUUUUAACCUGAGUUUUAAACUAAGUUAUUUUAAGUUGUAGAUCCCUGGCCAGUUUGUAUGUGAGUUGUCCUGGGACAACAUCUCCCACUCAGGCUAGUCAGGUGGGGCUAUAGGGGAGGCAGACACUACAGAAUAUCUAGUAUUACAAUUAAAAAUCUUAAAUAAACAUACAGGUCAUUUAUAUUAAGCAUAUUAGAAAUACAGUUAUUUACAGAAGAAUAGUAAGCACAUCUAUGAAAUUUUUUAGACAUUUAAAAACUAAAGUGUAAUGUCUAAUCUCUCUAAUUUAUACUUAAAAGUUUCACCGUGAUAGAUGUUCUAGAAUGAUUAGGACCUGAGAGCUACCAGGGGAUUCUUAUCUGUCAUUCUUCUGUUCAGCUAUGCAAGGCUCCUUCAGAUGAACAUAUCUAACAGAAGUACAUUAAAAUCAAAAGUACCCUAAAAUCCAGACUUCACUCUUCUGUGCGGCAAUCACCUGACCUUUCAUUCCUAAGAAUGCAGGUAACUCUCAUGAUUGACAUGUUUCCCAAAAUUGGAAAUUAAAUUAAGGAGUAGAAGGUGGAGCCAAGCAAGUGCCACUGGAAGGUUCUCCUUAUACAGAUUAAAAGAGAUGACUUCAGUGACUUCUCUAUUAUAAUUCAGUGUGAAGCUAGCUUCAGUGUGAAGCUAUGUUUAAAUACAACUCAAUGUGAGUUGUAUGUGAGUGCUGCCUGAGGCAACUGACAUUUCAAAUUGUGACUCUUUUCACCCGAAAAGCAAGAAGGUCUGCUCUUUCCUGUAGUUGGAGCUAUUAAAUGAAGUUAAUUCAAGAAGUCAGAAUCUAACUCGUGACUUAUUAGAUUCUUUCAUUUGCAUUACAAAUCGUUUGAAGGGAAUGAAGCAAUUGACCAAAAAAUAUUGAAGAAAGACUAGAGUAAAACAUUAUUAAUUUGAACUCGCUUAUUUUUGAAUAUCUGAUCAUCUAGGCAUAGGGAAUGAAAGACAGUGGAUGAAAUAAUUUACAAUGGAAAUCAAUAAGAUUUUACAGGAAAGAUUAAACUAUUCACUAGAACAAACUUUCCAAUCACUAUCAGUACCUGAGACUUGAAACCAAAUAUUGCAUAUUACCCCCACCUCAAACAAAUGUAAA